rnacentral:rRNA from 1 species
GCAAGAUUAAAACUCAAAGGAAUAGACGGGGACCCGCACAAGUGGUGGAGCAUGUGGUUUAAUUCGAAGAUACGCGAAGAACCUUACCUAGCCUUGACAUUGAUAGAAUCUUCCAGAGAUGGAGGAGUGCCUUUAGGGGAACUUGAAAACAGGUGCUGCACGGCUGUCGUCAGCUCGUGUCGUGAGAUGUUGGGUUAAGUCCCGCAACGAGCGCAACCCUCGUCACUAGUUACUAACAGUUAGGCUGAGGACUCUAGUGAGACUGCCUUCGUAAGGAGGAGGAAGGUGAGGACGACGUCAAGUCAUCAUGGCCCUUACGGCUAGGGCAACACACGUGCUACAAUGGUUAGGACAGUGAGAAGCGAUACCGCGAGGUGGAGCCAAUCUAUAAACCUAAUCUCAGUUCGGAUUGUAGUCUGCAACUCGACUACAUGAAGCUGGAAUCACUAGUAAUCGUAGAUCAGCUAUGCUACGGUGAAUACGCUCCCGGGUCUUGUACUCACCGCCCGUCACACCAUGGGAGUUGAUUUCACCCGAAGCGGGGAAGCUAAACUGGCUACCCUCCACGGUGGAAUUAGCGACUGGGGUGAAGUCGUAACAAGGUA